CUUCCCUCAGCGAUAUUUCAUUUGUACCGAUCCGUUUGAGUUCAUUUCAAUUUCGCUAAAUUCAGAUCGAGAUCCACAAGAAAAAAACCCUAAUUUUGUUUUCAGAUCCAAAAUGGACGCUCUCGAUACUGUUUUCGAUCCUCUUAGAGAUUUCGCCAAAGACAGCGUAAGGCUCGUCAAAAGGUGCCACAAGCCUGAUCGCAAAGAAUUUACCAAGGUUGCAACCCGUACGGCGAUCGGUUUUGUUGUGAUGGGAUUCGUUGGAUUUUUCGUCAAGUUGAUAUUCAUUCCAAUCAACAACAUCAUCGUUGGUGCUUCUUAAGUGGUAAUUAUGUUAGGAUAUGUCGUACAGUAGGCUUGCAUGUACUAAUAUUCAAGUGGUGCCACGAGUUAAGUCAAAGGAUCAAAAUUGAGCACUUUUUGCCUUAGAAAGGGGGGUGAUCCAUGUUACCCUUAGCUGUACACGGGAAAUGUUGGACUUUCUACCUAUAGUUGGAGCUUGGGUUCUGUGAUAGAUUUUGAUGCUCCAAUAAGUUACUUCAGAAAAGGCAUAAUGCUUAAGGUAGUUCAUCCGAAUCAACAUAUAGUCCGUAUUAAGGGUUCAUCCAACCAAAUACUGAAAUUACUGUGGGGUUCUUGUAAAAACAAUAGUAUCAUCAUUUCAUAUUGCUAUGCUCUUUCCUUAAUUUUCAUUAGCUAGAACAGACAUCAUUUUAGCUCAUCUAAAGUCAUGAGGAGAGAAGAAACAUGAUUAUCUCGAAGUUGCUUGUUGAUUAAUAAUUUGUCUUUUACCUAUUAAAAUAUCUUAAGAAGCAAUAUGUAAUUAUGUCUGGAGGGUUCAGAUUGGUAAUAACACCAUUAUGUGACUAGACAUUCUCUCUUUUUUAAUCUUCUGUUUUGUGGUAUUCUUGUUUUCACUUAAUUAUCAUGGAUGCCACCAAUUCCAAAUCACACUCCAGCUCCUGAAAGAAAUGAAAGAGUAAACACUCUUUCCCUCUUUCUCUUCUUUAUUUUAUCUGUCACGAGGAAUUGCUAUUCAUAUUACUGCUAUCAAGAAAAGAAGAGAUAUAAUCACAUAAAACCAAAUGAAAUUAAA